rnacentral:rRNA from 1 species
GAUGAACGCUGGCGGCGUGCCUAAUACAUGCAAGUCGAGCGAACGGACGAGAAGCUUGCUUCUCUGAUGUUAGCGGCGGACGGGUGAGUAACACGUGGAUAACCUACCUAUAAGACUGGGAUAACUUCGGGAAACCGUAGCUAAUACCGGAUAAUAUUUUGAACCGCAUGGUUCAAAAGUGAAAGACGGUCUUGCUGUCACUUAUAGAUGGAUCCGCGCUGCAUUAGCUAGUUGGUAAGGUAACGGCUUACCAAGGCAACGAUGCAUAGCCGACCUGAGAGGGUGAUCGGCCACACUGGAACUGAGACACGGUCCAGACUCCUACGGGAGGCAGCAGUAGGGAAUCUUCCGCAAUGGGCGAAGGCCUGACGGAGCAACGCCGCGUGAGUGAUGAAGGUCUUCGGAUCGUAAAACUCUGUUAUUAGGGAAGAACAUAUGUGUAAGUAACUGUGCACAUCUUGACGGUACCUAAUCAGAAAGCCACGGCUAACUACGUA